UCAGAUCCAACAGUUCAACUCAUCAUAGUACUCGUCAGGCCGCUGACUCUGCAGUUGGUGUUGCUGUUCGUGUUGGUGUGGAUGUUGAUGACUGCUGCCCUUUGUUUCUACUAUAAGGCCUGCAGGGGGCAGAAGCUGGGCAGUCAGGAGAACAUUGUGCUGGAUCAGUAUACCCAGCGUGUUUCUGCAGCUGACUGAGGAGGAAGGAGCUCAGGGAGCAGAGUAGGACCUCCAAGGAGCUCAUCUCAGCUGCCACACAACCCACCAUCAGCUCAGACAAGGAUUUUACACUUUUAUACUGAUGUUCCCUUUAAACAAUCCGUCUGGAAUUAUUAGAUUAUAUUAGAAUCUCUAUUUUUAUUACUCUCAACAUGAAAAGAGCAAAGCAGCAUUAGUCUUUUCAGACUUCCUGUCUGUGGCUCUCAGCUCCAAGCCCAUUGGUUCCUACUGAAGACGUCAAUCUUUAAAAAGUCUUCACAAAUAUAUAGUUUCAUUUUAAAACUGAGUAUCAGGGUCCAAACACCCGGCACAAUUCAGAACCAAAGCCACGCCGACCCAGGAGGAUCUGGAAGUCCUUCUGGAACAACGUUGGCCGAGUCCUGUUAGAUAUUAAAUUAAAAUAAAAGUGAAGCGUUGGCGCAGAUCCUCUGAAUUUGGUUUCACAACACUCGAUGUGCAAAUCACAUUUGGUGACUCGUGAACAACUGAAUCCUGAGACCAGAGAAGAAACAUGUCCAAGAGCCUCCUGCUGCUGAUCUGGAGAUCUGGAGGCAUCGAGUGCCGGAGACACUAAUUUGAGAAAAAUACAGAAACACAGAGAUCAGAGUCAUUUAGCGAGCAGACAAAGUACAACGUUAAAAAUAAUUUUCAUCUCGUUAGUGAGAUAUAAACUUUAAGACUUUUACCGCCCUCUUGUGGCUGACGUGGGUCAUUUUCUGUUGAGAGACAGAUUUCCUCCUCCAUGACGUUUUGUUCCUUCGAUGGCAGCAGGAGCACAUUUAGCUCAAGUCUGACUAAAAGCUGAAUUAUACAAAUCAGAGCAAAACUAAUUUUUGUAAUUCAUUUUGUGUAUUUCAUUUACUUCACUUUUUAGCUUAUUUGAUAAUCAUGUCGAAUCAUUUAGUAAUUAAUCAGUUAAAGACAGUAUGAGGGCACUUUUGUGAUAAAACAAAGUCGGGUCCAGGUGGAUCAUUGUUGGACGUGGAAAGUACGACACUACGUGACUGUCUGCUCAUAGCCAUUUAAAAACCAAAACCUGCAUAAAUUUAUUAUCUACUGUAUUCAAAGAAAAAGCAGUUUAAUAAAAUAUAAGACUGUG